rnacentral:misc_RNA from 1 species
AACGCACAUUGCGCCCGCCAGCACUCUGGCGGGCAUGCCUGUUCGAGCGUCAUUUCAACCCCUCAAGCCCCAGCGGCUUGGUGUUGGGGAUCGACCCGCCGCCUGACCCCCCCCGGGGGGAUGGCAGGGUCGGCCCUGAAAUACAGUGGCGGUCCCGUCGCGGCCCCCUCUGCGUAGUAGCACACCUCGCAGUGGAGAGCGGCGCGGCCACGCCCAACCCCAUACUUCUCAAGGUUGACCUCGAAUCAGGUAGGAAUACCCGCUGAACUUAA